rnacentral:rRNA from 1 species
CCUACGGGAGGCAGCAGUAGGGAAUCUUCCACAAUGGGCGAAAGCCUGAUGGAGCAACGCCGCGUGGGUGAAGAAGGUCUUCGGAUCGUAAAACCCUGUUGUUAGAGAAGAAAGUGCGUGAGAGUAACUGUUCACGUUUCGACGGUAUCUAACCAGAAAGCCACGGCUAACUACGUGCCAGCAGCCGCGGUAAUACGUAGGUGGCAAGCGUUAGCCGGAUUUACUGGGCGUAAAGGGAACGCAGGCGGUCUUUUAAGUCUGAUGUGAAAGCCUUCGGCUUAACCGGAGUAGUGCAUUGGAAACUGGGAGACUUGAGUGCAGAAGAGGAGGGUGGAACUCCAUGUGUAGGGGUGAAAUGCGUAGAGAUAUGGAAGAACACUCGUGGCGAAAGCGGCUCUCUGGUCUGUAACUGACGCUGAGGUUCGAAAGCGUGGGUAGCAAACAGGAUUAGAUACCCUAGUAGUC